rnacentral:rRNA from 1 species
AAGCGCUUGCAACCAGACUUGAGCGCGGCGGUUCCCCUGGCCUUUUGGCCAGGUUACUCCGUCGUGUCCAGGCCAACAUCGGUUCGAGUGGUUGGUUAAAGACUUUAGGAAUGUAUCUACUUUCGGGUCGACUUAUAGCCUAGAGUGUAAUGUGACCUAUUUGGACCGAGGAACGCGCUUUUUGCUCGGAUGUUGGCGUAAUGGUUGUAAGCG